CGAAUCAGUAAUGGUUUCUCAGAAGAUGGUGACAAUCGCCGAAACUCAAGAAGCUCAGUAGCAUCAGCUUCAAAUGCUUCUCAAGUUGAGGCAGAGUGGAUCGAACAGUACGAACCUGGUGUUUAUAUAACACUAUUGGCCCUAGGCGAUGGAACAAGAGAUCUCAAACGUGUGCGGUUUAGCCGGAGAAGGUUCAAGGAGCAACAGGCAGAGGUAUGGUGGUCUGAGAAUCGCGAAAGAGUGUAUGAGAAGUACAACAUUCGCGGUACCGAUAGAGCAAGCGUGGCAACAUCACCUCUAUCCCAAUCACAAUUCCAGACAUGAACCCAAAACAGUUAAAAGCAUAGGAAGCAGUUAGCCUUAUUCUGAGUUCCACUCUCAGGCAUUAAUUACACUGUAUAUAGAUAAUCUCUGGCGUUGUUUUGCAAAGAGUUUGUCGUGAAUUUCCAUUUACGUAUUGUUUAAAAACUAAUUGAGAUAACAUCUUCUGAUUGAUUAGCCAACUUCACGCCUUGAAGCGUUUUUUCUC